ACCCUCUAUGGCCCAGUUGGUAGGGCAUUACACUCACAACGUGAGAGCGAGAGUUCAAUCCCCGGUAAGAACA